AAAACUACUAAAAAUAUAUUAAAACUGAGCUCUUAAACCUAUGGAUUUCCACAUUUACAAUUUUAGAAAUUCAGACGAAAUUCGAAUAAUUAGAAAAAAAGUUUCUAGUUUUCACAAAUAAAUAAAUUAUAUAAAUUAGGGAGCAAAAGAAAUUACAGAAUAUUCUAGAAGAACAGAAGGAGCGAUGUCUUCGGAGAUAUGUUCUGAAUCCCGAUUGAAUCCGACACCCGACGCAGAAAUAAGAGAAGGUAAUUUAGGGGACGAUGGAGGGGUAUUUCGGGAAUAGAAAGAGAAAAAAGAAAAUGUGGAGAGAAGGGAGGCGAGGGCAGGAUUGUAAUAAAGAUAUAAUCAAGGGGUAGAGGGGUUUAUGAGAAUAUUUUUGGAGGCUUUG
rnacentral:lncRNA from 1 species